UGAAUCCAGGCUCUUUGAAUCCAAAUCCAUACUUUUCCCACAGCAUCACUCAUCACCAUGAGUGAUCCAAAUGGCCUCAUUCAUGAUUUGACUUUUCACAUUAAUGGAAAAAAACAACAUUUUUGCUUCUUUUUUUCAAAAUGAUUUGUAUAGUUGUCUUGGAUGACAUCACAAUCCUUUCCCGAGUCUUUUCCAGGCAGACCAACAUAUAUUAAUUACUAAGACUUCUCCAACAAUGAUUUUCCAUCCCCCAAAUAAAUCUAAGAAGCAGCAAGCAUUAUAAAAUACGACCCAGUUAGCAUGAAGAUCUCGGUUUGCACUGCCAAGAAGGACUAGCAGACUACACAAUUCUUCUCCUAAUAAGAGACCUUAAAAUCUUACCUUUUUCAGCCAUUCUUCUUGGUGCCAAACGAGUUUGUUUGGGAGAAGGUCUGGUGGCUUGGCUAUUGUCAUCCAGACCUGCCUUGAGUUUUAAAUAGAGGGCGAUCUGGAAUGUGUGACAGCCGCCUCCCUCACCCUUUGCCAGUCUGUCUUCUUUCUGGUGAUGUCAGGCAUCAGGAAGGGCAAAAUUUCUGACCCCUUGAGUUUGCAAUGGAGCAAGCCCAGAGGCUCUUGGGAUGUUAGGUCUGAAAUAAAAGAUUAAGACUUGGUGAACCUCAUCCAGGAGACUGGACGAUUGUUUUGCAUUGAGAAUGAGUUACUUUUUGAUGCUCCCAAACAGAAAUCACUUAGAAGUGGGGAGGUGUGGACCAAAGGGAAGACACGAAGGGAGCAACCAGCUUGAAGAUUGCUCAGGAAAUGGGAUUAAAAAAGCGGAGCACAGACUUUUUCUACAUAGUGCCAUAGAAACACAGAUUUAACCUGAAUAGUGCCAAAAAGAGCAUGCAGAUCAAAAAAGAAGAAACCAAUCCAGGGAUCAUGAAGAACCAGAUGCCACUGACCAACAAAAAUAAGCAUUGAGAUCACAAGAUCUAGUACAUUAUAAUUUGUUUAUUGAUUAAAUCAUUCCAAUCCAAUCCAAUCCAAUGUACAUUUAUUAAGUGCCUAUUUUGUGCCAGGCACUGUACUCAGUCCUUAGGGAUAUAAUUAAUAAAACAGAAGAAAGUCUUGACCUCA
rnacentral:lncRNA from 1 species